UACGGGGGGGCAAGCGUUGUUCGGAAUUACUGGGCGUAAAGGGCUCGUAGGCGGCCAACUAAGUCAGACGUGAAAUCCCUCGGCUUAACCGGGGAACUGCAUCUGAUACUGGAUGGCUUGAAUCCGGGAGAGGGAUGCAGAAUUCCAGGUGUAGCGGUGAAAUGCGUAGAGAUCAGGAAGAACAUCGGUGGCGAAGGCGCUCUGCUGGACCAUAACUGACACUCAGGGACGAAAGCUAGGGGAGCGAAUGGG
rnacentral:rRNA from 1 species